rnacentral:rRNA from 1 species
UACACGCAUGACACACUGCAUAUCAAUAAGCGGAGGAAAAGAAACUAACAAGGAUUCCCUUAGUAACGGCGAGUGAAGCGGGAAGAGCUCAAAUUUGAAAUCUUCAAGGUUCUACCUUGACGAAUUGUAGUUUAUAGAAGUGUUUUCUGUUAGUGGAGCUGGCAAAAGUUCUUUGGAAUAGGACAUCAUAGAGGGUGAGAAUCCCGUAUUUGGUCAUUCCUCCUAGCGUUGUGAUACACUUUCAACGAGUCGGAUUGUUUGGGAAUGCAGUCCAAAAUGGGUGGUAAAUUUCAUCUAAAGCUAAAUAUUGGCGAGAGACCGAUAGCGAACAAGUACCGUGAGGGAAAGAUGAAAAGAACUUUGAAAAGAGAGUUAAACAGUACGUGAAAUUGUCAAAAGGGAAGCGUUUGACACCAGUGUUGUUUAGUUCCGAAAAUCAAUUCACUAAUUUUUGAUUUUGAGUAGUUAUGACUUCAUCAGCUUGCUCCUUCCUUUAUGAAACUUUCUUAAUGCACUUUUCGGUUAACAAGUCAACAUCAAUUUCUUUUGUUGUAAAAGGGUAUGAGGAAGGUGGCUUUCUUUUCGGAGAAAGUGUUUAUAGCCUUGUGCCUCUGCAAUCGGAGAGAUUGAGGUCUGCAGCGUAGAUCCUUCGGGGUUGGAUACGUUUGUGCUAAGUUAUAGCUUUUCAUAGACAACUUGUUGACUAUGUUUAGUCUUGUAGCUUACUCGCUGACGCUAUUUUACCUACGCUUAGGAUGUUGAACUACUGAGACAUAGA